UGGGAUUCAGUCUCUCCCUCUCUCUGCCCCUCCCCUGCUUGUGCUCUCUCUCUCUCAAAAUAAAUAAACAAACUUAAAAUUAAAACAGCAAAAAGGAGUGUCUUGCUUUCGGAUAAGGCUGUGGUAUGAACCAAACAUUUAACAGGGAUAAUUUUCAAAGUAUGUGGUCUUGUGCCUCUAUAAGAAAACAAAGACCAUAGUCCAGGGAGUGAGUGCACCAUUCAGUGCAACUCUAGAACCUCCCUCUCAAGCACAAUCAAUGUCUCACGGCGGGUAUUUUGGGCGGAACUAGUAUUUAUUUUGAAAGGUGAUUACCCUUACCGUAUGUAAGAGCCUGGGCUUUGUAACUGUAUUCAGAAAAUAAAUUUUAUAGGCAGAGUCGCAUCAGAAACUACUUUUUCAAAUUUUCUAAGCUGAAACCCCAAAGACUUUUCUGUUCAUACAAGGCCUUACCUUCAUCGUCAGUAAGAAAGCCAGGCAUCUAGUUAUUUUAACUUGGUUACAAAUAUAAUGUUAAAAAAAAAAAAAAAGUCUAGCAACGGGUUUUCUUGAAUGAACCAGAGCAUUAAAUACUAGUUUUAAUUAAAGAUUAUUAUUUCACUCUCCUAAACCUCGGCGAGAUUCGUCAUUAGGAAACGUACAUGCCAGAGGUCAUUUACAGGCUCAUUCUAAGAUAGGAUCAGGGAUUUAAAUUUCUCUUUCAAAUCUAUUCUUAGUUCAUCAAUUUAAGAUUUUAAGCUCUUAUAAAUUGCUUACUUCUUCUUCUUUUUUUUUAAAUCACAUUUGUCCCAAUUCCCUCCACAGGACAGCAUCGGGAAUAGGCAGAUUUUUGUUAUUUUUUAAAAAAAUAUUAACUUAGUUUUUAGAAGUACUAAUAUUUUUGUGUAAUCAAAUUUGCCAAGAAUUUUCUUUAUGAUGUCUUUAAUCGCUUCAUGCGCGGAAAAGACUCCACCACGCUGGGGCCAUAUAGCUAUCUCUAUUUUCUUUGUAUUCCAUUAAAAAAAAAAUGAACACUGAAUGUUCUCUCCUUAAAUAUUCCAUCCAGUUAGAUACUGGAAGUUUUCCUUUUAAAAACUAUUCUGGCUGACGGUUGCACCACAACAAUAAUCCAAACUUUAUUAGCGGCAACUUUCGCGAAUUCAGGCAUUGAUGCCGACAUCUGUGGUUGACCUGGGUCUUAAUUGAUCUGCCUGUGCAAUUGACAUGCUGCUGUCAAUGAGGAUGCCGGCAAAGAUUAUUGGAUAUGCAAAUAACAAGUCAAUAUCUGACACUGUGGCAAGCUCAGAUUUGACUAUAUGUUAAUUCAAUACAAACCUACUUAAGUUCCUGCUGGGUGGCUAUCCUGAAAACUAAACUUAUUAGGUGAUGCAGAACCGGCAAAGGUGAAUGAAACACAGCGCUUACUCUUAAGACAUUCACUAUCUAGCGAGGAAGCUAGAUAUAUAACAGAUAAUGAAAAAAAAAAAAAAAAACCAAACCCAAAACUUCGACGGUAUCCAAAGUUCUUU